CGGGACACGUGGUAUCCUGUCUGAAUAUGGGGGGACCAUCCUCCAAGGCUAAAUACUCCUGACUGACCGAUAGUGAACCAGUACCGUGAGGGAAAGGCGAAAAGAACCCCGGCGAGGGGAGUGAAAAAGAACCUGAAACCGUGUACGUACAAGCAGUGGGAGCACGCUUAGGCGUGUGACUGCGUACCUUUUGUAUAAUGGGUCAGCGACUUAUAUUCUGUAGCAAGGUUAACCGAAUAGGGGAGCCGAAGGGAAACCGAGUCUUAACUGGGCGUUAAGUUGCAGGGUAUAGACCCGAAACCCGGUGAUCUAGCCAUGGGCAGGUUGAAGGUUGGGUAACACUAACUGGAGGACCGAACCGACUAAUGUUGAAAAAUUAGCGGAUGACUUGUGGCUGGGGGUGAAAGGCCAAUCAAACCGGGAGAUAGCUGGUUCUCCCCGAAAGCUAUUUAGGUAGCGCCUCGUGAAUUCAUCUCCGGGGGUAGAGCACUGUUUCGGCAAGGGGGUCAUCCCGACUUACCAACCCGAUGCAAACUGCGAAUACCGGAGAAUGUUAUCACGGGAGACACACGGCGGGUGCUAACGUCCGUCGUGAAGAGGGAAACAACCCAGACCGCCAGCUAAGGUCCCAAAGUCAUGGUUAAGUGGGAAACGAUGUGGGAAGGCCCAGACAGCCAGGAUGUUGGCUUAGAAGCAGCCAUCAUUUAAAGAAAGCGUAAUAGCUCACUGGUCGAGUCGGCCUGCGCGGAAGAUGUAACGGGGCUAAACCAUGCACCGAAGCUGCGGCAGCGACGCUGAUGCGUUGUUGGGUAGGGGAGCGUUCUGUAAGCCUGUGAAGGUGUGCUGUGAGGCAUGCUGGAGGUAUCAGAAGUGCGAAUGCUGACAUAAGUAACGAUAAAGCGGGUGAAAAGCCCGCUCGCCGGAAGACCAAGGGUUCCUGUCCAACGUUAAUCGGGGCAGGGUGAGUCGACCCCUAAGGCGAGGCCGAAAGGCGUAGUCGAUGGGAAACAGGUUAAUAUUCCUGUACUUGGUGUUACUGCGAAGGGGGGACGGAGAAGGCUAUGUUGGCCGGGCGACGGUUGUCCCGGUUUAAGCGUGUAGGCUGGUUUUCCAGGCAAAUCCGGAAAAUCAAGGCUGAGGCGUGAUGACGAGGCACUACGGUGCUGAAGCAACAAAUGCCCUGCUUCCAGGAAAAGCCUCUAAGCAUCAGGUAACAUCAAAUCGUACCCCAAACCGACACAGGUGGUCAGGUAGAGAAUACCAAGGCGCUUGAG
rnacentral:rRNA from 1 species